GAUGAACGCUAGCGGCAGGCUUAAUACAUGCAAGUCGAGGGGCAGCAUGAAUGUAGCAAUACAUUUGAUGGCGACCGGCAAACGGGUGCGGAACACGUACACAACCUUCCUAUAAGUGGGGAAUAGCCCAGAGAAAUUUGGAUUAAUACCCCGUAACAUAAUGAUGUGGCAUCACAUUAUUAUUAUAGCUACGGCGCUUAUUGAUGGGUGUGCGGCUGAUUAGAUAGUUGGCGGGGUAACGGCCCACCAAGUCUACGAUCAGUAGCUGAUGUGAGAGCAUGAUCAGCCAAACGGGCACUGAGACACGGGCCCGACUCCUACGGGAGGCAGCAGUAAGGAAUAUUGGUCAAUGGACGCAAGUCUGAACCAGCCAUGCCGCGUGAAGGAUUAAGGUCCUCUGGAUUGUAAACUUCUUUUAUCUGGGACGAAAAAAGGCGAUUCUUCGUCACUUGACGGUACCAGAUGAAUAAGCACCGGCUAACUCCGUGCCAGCAGCCGCCGUAACAC
rnacentral:rRNA from 1 species